AGAGUUUGAUCAUGGCUCAGAUUGAACGCUGGCGGCAGGCCUAACACAUGCAAGUCGAGCGGCAGCGGAAGGAAGCAAGCUUCCUUGCCGGCGAGCGGCGGACGGGUGAGUAAGGUAUGGGGAUCUGGCCGAAGGCGGGGGAUAACCACUGGAAACGGUGGCUAAUACCGCAUAAUCUCUAAGGAGCAAAGUGGGGGACCGUUCAGGCCUCACACCUUCGGAUGAACCCAUAUGAGAUUAGCUAGUAGGUGGGGUAAUGGUUCACCUAGGCGACGAUCUCUAGCUGGUCUGAGAGGAUGAUCAGCCACACUGGGACUGAGACACGGCCCAGACUCCUAUGGGAGGCAGCAGUGGGGGAUAUUGCACAAUGGGCGCAAGCCUGAUGCAGCCAUGCCGCGUGUAUGAAAAAGGCCUUCGGGUUGUAAAGUACUUUCAGUCGUGAGGAAGGUGUUAAGGUUAAUAACCUUAGCAAUUGACGUUAGCGACAGAAGAAGCACCGGCUAACUCCGUGCCAGCAGCCGCGGUAAUACGGAGGGUGCGAGCGUUAAUCGGAAUUACUGGGCGUAAAGGGCACGCAGGCGGUUAAUUAAGUUGGAUGUGAAAUCCCCGGGCUUAACCUGGGAAUGGCAUUCAAGACUGGUUAGCUAGAGUCUUGUAGAGGGGGGUAGAAUUCCAUGUGUAGCGGUGAAAUGCGUAGAGAUGUGGAGGAAUACCGGUGGCGAAGGCGGCCCCCUGGACAAAGACUGACGCUCAUGUGCGAAAGCGUGGGGAGCAAACAGGAUUAGAUACCCUGGUAGUCCACGCUGUAAACGAUGUCGAUUUGGAGGUUGUGGUCAUGAACUGUGGCCUCCGGAGCUAACGCGUUAAAUCGACCGCCUGGGGAGUACGGCCGCAAGGUUAAAACUCAAAUGAAUUGACGGGGGCCCGCACAAGCGGUGGAGCAUGUGGUUUAAUUCGAUGCAACGCGAAGAACCUUACCUACUCUUGAUAUCCAGCGAAUCGUUUAGAGAUAGAGGAGUGCCUUCGGGAGCGCUGAGACAGGUGCUGCAUGGCUGUCGUCAGCUCGUGUUGUGAAAUGUUGGGUUAAGUCCCGCAACGAGCGCAACCCUUAUCCUUUGUUGCCAGCGAUUCGAGUCGGGAACUCAAAGGAGACUGCCGGUGAUAAACCGGAGGAAGGUGGGGAUGACGUCAAGUCAUCAUGGCCCUUACGAGUAGGGCUACACACGUGCUACAAUGGCGUAUACAGAGAGAGGCGAGCCAGCGAUGGGAAGCGGAACUCAGAAAGUACGUCGAAGUCCGGAUUGGAGUCUGCAACUCGACUCCAUGAAGUCGGAAUCGCUAGUAAUCGCGGAUCAUCAUGUCGCGGUGAAUACGUUCCCGGGCCUUGUACACACCGCCCGUCACACCAUGGGAGUGGGUUGCAAAAGAAGUAGGUAGCUUAACCUUUUGGAUGGCGCUUACCACUUUGUGAUUCAUGACUGGGGUGAAGUCGUAACAAGGUAACCGUAGGGGAACCUGCGGUUGGAACACCUCCUU
rnacentral:rRNA from 1 species